rnacentral:rRNA from 1 species
CUGGCGGCGUGCCUAAUACAUGCAAGUCGAACGGUCGUUUCUAUGGAAGCUUGCUUCCACUGAGAAGAUAGUGGCGAACGGGUGAGUAACACGUGGGUAACCUGCCCAUAAGAGGGGGAUAACAUCCGGAAACGGGUGCUAAUACCGCAUAGUUUUCUUGAUCGCAUGAUCGGGAAAGGAAAGACGGCCUUUGUGCUGUCGCUUAUGGAUGGACCCGCGGCGUAUUAGUUAGUUGGUGAGGUAACGGCUCACCAAGACGAUGAUACGUAGCCGACCUGAGAGGGUGAUCGGCCACAUUGGGACUGAGACACGGCCCAAACUCCUACGGGAGGCAGCAGUAGGGAAUCUUCCGCAAUGGACGAAAGUCUGACGGAGCAACGCCGCGUGAGUGAAGAAAAGGUUUUCGGAUCGUAAAACUCUGUUGUCAGAGAAGAACAAGUUGGAGAGUAACUGCUCCAGCCUUGACGGUAUCUGACCAGAAAGCCACGGCUAACUACGUGCCAGCAGCCGC